rnacentral:lncRNA from 1 species
CUGUGCUCUCAGGAGCACGAAGGCCUCCGUGCUCCUGAGCCGUUUUCGAUGGUGGAAUUUUCGAAUCGACGAUCGGCUCCGUUAGACUUGAUCUAGCGCAUUUGAAGUUUCUAGAAAAUAAAUUUUGUAAUUUUUUGAUACCAUUUACCUAGUGAUCGAAAGGAUUCAAAAUCCAUAAUAUUCAAUGGUUGAUAUCUGCCGUUUUUAAGUUUAACGGUGUAGAAGUAUUCAAAUCAGAUGAAACUUUGAUACAAAAUUCUUUAUACUAUCUACAACAAGAUCAAUAUUUGUGAUCGAAAAUUCUUAGUGCCUAUUCACACUUUUUAUAGGAUUUUAUUUUCAGCCGUUAAAAAUUAUUGAUUUGAAUCCUUUCGAUUGCUAGGUAAAUGAUAUCAAAAAAUUGCAAAAAUUAUUAUCUAGAAACUUCAAAUAAGCUAGAAUCAAGUUUAACGGAGCUGAUCGUCGAUUCGGAAACUUCAUCAUCAAAACGGCUCAGGAGCAAGGAGGCCUCCGUGCUCCUGAAGAUACAGCAGCCCUGCUCUUAUAUAUAAUAUAUAUAUAUUAUAUAUAAUAUAGUGUGGCUACUAAUGCUAUCAGAAGCACGGAGCCAUCGUGCUUCCAGCUCGUUUUUGAUGUUGCAACUUUCGAAUCAUCGAUCGGCUCCGUUAAACUUGAUCUAGAGUAUUGAAGUAUCUAGAAAUAAAUUUAUGAUUUUACGUAUCAUUUGCUAGUGAACGAAGGGGCUCAAAAUGAACGGCCUGAAAUAAAAAUCUUACAAAAUGUAAUAAUAUGACAUUAAAUUUUAAAUCAAAGAUAUUGAUCUUGUUUUAUAUAGUAUAAAGAAUUUUCUAUAAAAUUUCACAUGAUUAGAUAUUUCUACACCGUUAAAUUGCAAACGGCUCACUCGCGCCAUUGAAAUUUGUUGAUUUUUGAGCACAUUUGAUCACUAGGCAAAUGAUAUCGAAAAUAAUAAAUUUAUUUUCUAGUACUCCAAAUACUCUAGAUCAAGUUUACGGAGCCGAUCGACGAUUCGAAAGUCGCAACAUCGAAACGACUGGAAGCACGGAAGGCUCCGUGCUUCCGAUAGCAUAGUAGCCUCACUCUAUAAUAAUAUAUAUUAAUAUAUAUAUAUAUAUAUAUAAGAGCAGGCUGCUGUGCUCUCAGGACACGAGGCCUCAGUGCUCCUGAAUCGUCUUCGAUGAUGAAUUUUCGAAUCGCACGAUGCGCUCCGUUAGACUUGAUCUAACGAUUUGAAGUUUUUAGAAAAUAAUUUUUGCGAUUUUUCGAUAUCAUUUACCUAGUGAUCGAAAUGAUUCAAAAUCCAUAAUUUUUAAUGAUUGAUAUCUGCCGUUUUUCAAGCUCAUUACCGCGUGUGAAAGAUAUUCAAAUCAGAUGAAAUUUUGAUAGAAAAUUCUUUAUACUAUCUACAACAAGAUCUAUAUUUCUGAUCGAAAAUUUUAGUGCUAUAUCACCACUUUUUAUAGGAUUUUUAUUUUCAGCCGUUAAAAAUUAUUGAUUUUGAAUCCUUUCGAUUGCUAGGUAAAUGAUAUCGAAAAAUCGCAAAAAUUAUUUUCUAAAAACUUUAAAUACGCUAGAUCAAGUUUAACGGAACCGAUCGUCGAUUCGAAAACUCCAUCAUCGAAAACGGCUCAGGAGCACGGAGGCCUCCGUGCUCCUGAGAGCACAGCAGCCCUGCUCUAUAUAUAUAUAUAUAUAUAUAUAUAUAUAUAUAUACACUUUUUU